UCCACAGUCACUGAAAACACUGACUCUAGCCAUGGAAUGGAGCUGGGUCUUUCUCUUACUCCUGUCAGUAACUGCAGGUGUCCAAUCGCAGGUCCAGCUGCAACAAUCUGGAGAUGAGCUGGUGGGGCCUAUAGCUAUAGUGAAGUUGUCCUGCAAGGCUUCUGGCUACACCUUCACCAGUGACUGGGUGCACUGGGUAAAGCAGAGUCCUGGACAUGGCCUUGAGUGGAUUGGAUAUAUUUAUCCUGCAGAUGGUGGUACUAACUACAAUGAGAAAUUCAAGGGCAAGGCCACACUGACUGCAGACACAUCCUCCAGCACAGCCUACAUGCAUCUCAGCAGCCUGACAUCUGAGGACUCUGCUGUCUAUGACUGUGCAAGACACAGUGUUAUCACUACACCGAGUGUGUCAGAAGUCCUGGAGGGGGAGAAAGCUGCCUUAGGAAUGAGAUGA